rnacentral:rRNA from 1 species
ACCCGCACAAGCAGCGGAGCGUGUGGUUUAAUUCGAUGCUACACGAAGAACCUUACCAGGGUUUGACAUGCAAGUGGUAGUGAUCUGAAAAGUGAACGACCCUUCGGGGAGCUUGCACAGGUGCUGCAUGGCUGUCGUCAGCUCGUGUCGUGAGAUGUUCGGUUAAGUCCGCUAACGAGCGCAACCCUCGCUGUGUGUUAUAUGUGUCACACGGGACUGCCGGUCUUAAGCCGGAGGAAGGUGGGGAUGAUGUCAAGUCAGCAUGGCCUUUAUAUCCUGGGCUACACACACGCUACAAUGGCCAGCACAAUAGGUUGCUAAGCCGCGAGGUGGCGCCAAUCCAUAAAGUUGGUCUCAGUUCAGAUUGUAGGCUGCAACCCGCCCGCAUGAAGAUGGAGUUGCUAGUAACCGCAGGUCAGCUAUACUGCGGUGAAUACGUUCCCGGGGCUU